GGCGGAGCCUGGUGGAGAUGUUGGGUUUUGUCCUUGCGUGGGCGCUGCUUGCUGGCAAAGUCUGGACAAGAGAAUUCUCUAGCACCAGGCUGUACAUAGAUCCUCUGGAUUCUCCAAGUCCGCUGGACGGCCGCAACAGAAGACACCUGGCGUGAGGCUGGAGAUGAGGUGUGCACACCCCCUGCUGGCAGUGAUGGAGAAUGUGCCAUCCAGAACACGGGAGCACUUCCCUCAGAGCCGCCCAGGAGCCAUCACGCUGUAUCAUUCCGCUGCAGAAGAAGAGGCAAAGGACACAGAGGUCUCCUAAACCCCUCAACUUUACCCCAGUCCCUCAGCUGUGACCAGGCCCCAGC